UAGUCCAAAUCCAACAUCGGAGUAAAACAUUAUGCCCGAUUUACUUCAGCAUAUCAGCCUGUCAACUGGCAGAAAUUCCUGCGACAUUUGUGAUUUCUUUAGGGGUAUUUUGGUCUUUUCCUCACCCUAGAACCUAACCCUCACGAGUUUAAAUCUACCCUAAGCUGUAUAAUACAUAUUAUAUCAGUUUUCAACAUACCAAAUCCUCUCCACUCUCAAGAAACAUGAUCAAAUUAGGGUCUUCAUCAAAGAUCAAGAAUUGAAGCUCUAGGUCCAAGAAUUCCAAGAAAUCAAUUAAGAUUCAGGUUCCAUUCUUCUAACUACAAAAUCUAAGGUUCUGAGGCACAGUCUAGGGGUCCCGAUAAGCAGUAAAAUUCUCAGACAGAGGUGCAAAGUCCAGUUGGUGAGCCUUCUAUAUUUCAGAAGGCCUAUUCACUUUCAGACAUUUAUCACGAGAUUGGUUUUGGUCUACUGGGGCCUUGUCCCAGAAUUCAGAUAGUUGUUAUUUGAUCAUGUAAUAGAGAUUUUUGCAGACAAUUUUCAGAUGUUGUUAGAUGGUUUUGGGUUUCAUUUUCCAUUGUUGAAUGUAUAUCAGACUUCUGACCAUGAUUCCGUUUCGUUAUACUUUUCCGCAUUUUUCUUAAAUUGUGUAUGAAUGGUGUAUAUGAUUGCAAGUUAGAAGGGCUCUCGGAUCUUUAUGGUUCGGAAUCCCCGUCACGGACGGGCCCUAGGUUCGGGUCGUGACAUAUACAUAUAUAAAAACAAUUGACCUUCUUU